CCCUCCCCUAAAUCACUCCAAAAAAAACAAUCCCCAAUUCUACACAAGUGUUUCUACACUAACAAAGCAACAGCUCCUUAACGAAUUCCCAACUUUACACGAGCUCGUCUCUCGAGGUUAAAUGUUAUUACUUGGUAAGAUUCCGGACCUCGCCAAGUGUUUUGAAAACCCGCAACGCUCGCAAAGGUGCAUAGUGAGAAUAAUAAGUGAAGAGACAGACUUGUCCAAAACGCCCACCACGAAGGUGCAUAGUGAGAAGAGUAAGUCAAGAGAUAGACUUGUCCAAAAAGAAACGGAAGAGAAAGCUUGGGGAGACGCUCACGAAGGUGCAUAGUGAGAAGAGUAAGUCAAGAGAUAGACUUGUUCAAAAAGAAACAGAAGAGAAUGCUUGGGGUUACACUCACGAAGGUGCAUAGUGAGAAGAGUAAGUCAAGAGAUAGACUUGUUCAAAAAGAAACAAAAGAGAAUGCUUGGGGUUACACUCACGAAGGUGCAUAGUGAGAAGAGUAAGUCAAGAGACAGACUUGUUCAAAAAGAAACAAAAGAGAAUGCUUGGGGAGAUAGAAGUGUGAGAUAGUUCUCAAGCUAAGAAAGUUGUAAAAGCUAAGAACUAGCAAGUAAUCGUCCAGGAUUCCUCCACCAGGACUUGAAAUCGUCGAGGGAAAAAAAUCGGUUCCGAGGAAUCGUCGAUCCGGACUUGGAAUCGUCGAGAAAAGUUUACCGGGUCCGAGGAUUUGUCGAC
rnacentral:misc_RNA from 1 species